rnacentral:tRNA from 4 species
GGAGUCGUGGCCGAGUGGCUGAAGGCAGCGGUUUGCUAAACCGUUAGGGGACAAAAAUCCCCUCGAGGGUUCGAAUCCCUCCGACUCCG